rnacentral:rRNA from 1 species
UACGAGGGGGGCGAGCGUUGUUCGGAAUUAUUGGGCGUAAAGGGUGCGUAGGCGGUUUGGUAAGUCUUAUGUGAAAUCUACAGGCUCAACUUGUAGUCUGCAUGAGAAACUGCCGGGCUUGAGUAUGGGAGAGGUGAGUGGAAUUCCUGGUGUAGCUGUGAAAUGCGUAGAUAUCAGGAGGAACACCUGUGGCGAAAGCGGCUCACUGGACCAUAACUGACGCUGAUGCACGAAAGCUAGGGGAGCAAACAGG